rnacentral:tRNA from 1 species
GCUAGCGUAGCUUAAAUAAAAGCGCAGCACUGAAAAUGCUAAGACAGAUGUUAACAGGUCUCGCAAGCA